rnacentral:rRNA from 1 species
GAUGAACGCUAGCUAUAGGCUUAACACAUGCAAGUCGGGGGGAAACGGCAUUAUGUGCUUGCACAUUUUGGACGUCGACCGGCGCACGGGUGAGUAUCGCGUAUCCAACCUGCCCUUUACUUGGGGAUACCCCGUUGAAAGACGGCCUAAUACCCGAUGUAAUUCAUUGAUGGCAUCAGAUAUGAAUAAAAGAUUUAUCGGUAAAGGAUGGGGAUGCGUCUGAUUAGCUUGUUGGCGAGGUAAAGGCUCACCAAGGCAACGAUCAGUAGGGGUUCUGAGAGGAAGGUCCCCCACAUUGGAACUGAGACACGGUCCAAACUCCUACGGGAGGCAGCAGUGAGGAAUAUUGGUCAAUGGGCGGAAGCCUGAACCAGCCAAGUAGCGUGCAGGAAGACGGCCCUAUGGGUUGUAAACUGCUUUUAUACGAGAAUAAUUUGAUGCACGUGUGCGUUAUUGCAUGUAUCGUAUGAAUAAGGACCGGCUAAUUCCGUGCCAGCAGCCGCGGUAAUACGGAAGGUCCAGGCGUUAUCCGGAUUUAUUGGGUUUAAAGGGAGUGUAGGCGGUUUGUUAAGCGUGUUGUGAAAUUUAGGUGCUCAACAUUUAACUUGCAGCGCGAACUGUCAGACUUGAGUACACGCAACGUAUGCGGAAUUCAUGGUGUAGCGGUGAAAUGCUUAGAUAUCAUGAAGAACUCCGAUUGCGAAGGCAGCAUACGGGAGUGUAACUGACGCUUAAGCUCGAAGGUGCGGGUAUCGAACAGG